AGAGUUUGAUCCUGGCUCAGGAUGAACGCUAGCGGCAGGCCUAAUACAUGCAAGUCGAACGGUAACAGGGUAGCAAUACCGCUGACGAGUGGCGCACGGGUGCGUAACGCGUAUGCAACUUACCUUUAACUGGAAGAUAGCCCCUCGAAAGAGGGAUUAAUACUCCAUAGUAAUCAGAGGAGGCAUCUUUUUUGGUUUAAAGCUCCGGCGGUUAAAGAUGGGCAUGCGUGACAUUAGCUAGUUGGUGAGGUAACGGCUCACCAAGGCUACGAUGUCUAGGGGUUCUGAGAGGAUGAUCCCCCACACUGGUACUGAGACACGGACCAGACUCCUACGGGAGGCAGCAGUAAGGAAUAUUGGGCAAUGGACGCAAGUCUGACCCAGCCAUGCCGCGUGAAGGAUGACGGCCCUAUGGGUUGUAAACUUCUUUUGUACGGGAAUAAACCCGGGUACGUGUACCCGGCUGAAUGUACCGUAAGAAUAAGGAUCGGCUAACUCCGUGCCAGCAGCCGCGGUAAUACGGAGGAUCCAAGCGUUAUCCGGAUUCAUUGGGUUUAAAGGGUGCGUAGGCGGAUUUGUAAGUCAGUGGUGAAAUCCUACAGCUUAACUGUAGAACUGCCAUUGAUACUGCAAGUCUUGAGUACAUUUGAUGUGGGCGGAACGUGUCAUGUAGCGGUGAAAUGCUUAGAUAUGACACAGAACACCGAUUGCGAAGGCAGCUCACAAAACUGUAACUGACGCUGAGGCACGACAGCGUGGGGAUCAAACAGGAUUAGAUACCCUGGUAGUCCACGCCGUAA
rnacentral:rRNA from 1 species